CUGGUACCUUCGGUGCCCGAGUUGUAAUUUGGAGAGGGCAACUUUGGGGCCGUUCCUUGUCUAUGUUCCUUGGAACAGGACGUCAUAGAGGGUGAGAAUCCCGUGUGGCGAGGAGUGCGGUUCUUUGUAAAGUGCCUUCGAAGAGUCGAGUUGUUUGGGAAUGCAGCUCUAAGUGGGUGGUAAAUUCCAUCUAAAGCUAAAUAUUGGCGAGAGACCGAUAGCGAACAAGUACAGUGAUGGAAAGAUGAAAAGAACUUUGAAAAGAGAGUGAAAAAGUACGUGAAAUUGUUGAAAGGGAAGGGCAUUUGAUCAGACAUGGUGUUUUGUGCCCUCUGCUCCUUGUGGGUAGGGGAAUCUCGCAUUUCACUGGGCCAGCAUCAGUUUUGGUGGCAGGAUAAAUCCAUAGGAAUGUAGCUUGCCUCGGUAAGUAUUAUAGCCUGUGGGAAUACUGCCAGCUGGGACUGAGGACUGCGACGUAAGUCAAGGAUGCUGGCAUAAUGGUUAUAUGCCGCCCGUC
rnacentral:rRNA from 1 species